rnacentral:rRNA from 1 species
UACGUAGGUGGCAAGCGUUGUCCGGAUUUACUGGGCGUAAAGAGCGCGCAGGCGGUCUUUUAAGUCGAAUGUGAAAGCCCCCGGCUCAACUGGGGAGGGUCAUUCGAUACUGAUCGACUUGAAGGCAGGAGAGGGUAGUGGAAUUCCCGGUGUAGUGGUGAAAUGCGUAGAUAUCGAGAGGAACACCUGAGGUGAAGACGGGUUGCUGGGCCGACACUGACGCUGAGUGCGCGAAAGCCAGGGGAGCAAACGGG